GACGAACGCUGGCGGCGUGCUUGACACAUGCAAGUCGAACGAUGAAGCCGGAGCUUGCUCCGGUGGAUUAGUGGCAAACGGGUGAGUAACACGUGAGCAAUCUGCCCUUGACUCUGGGAUAACUGCGGGAAACUGUAGCUAAUACCGGAUACGACACCUUGGGGCAUCCCAGGGUGUGGAAAGAAUUUCGGUCAAGGAUGAGCUCGCGGCCUAUCAGCUAGUUGGUGAGGUAAUGGCUCACCAAGGCGACGACGGGUAGCCGGCCUGAGAGGGUGACCGGCCACACUGGAACUGAGACACGGUCCAGACUCCUACGGGAGGCAGCAGUGGGGAAUAUUGCACAAUGGGCGAAAGCCUGAUGCAGCAACGCCGCGUGAGGGAUGAAGGCCUUCGGGUUGUAAACCUCUUUUAGCAGGGAAGAAGCGAAAGUGACGGUACCUGCAGAAAAAGCACCGGCUAACUACGUGCCAGCAGCCGCCGUAA
rnacentral:rRNA from 1 species